rnacentral:rRNA from 1 species
AUUGAACGCUGGCGGCAGGCUUAACACAUGCAAGUCGAGCGGAGAGAGGUAGCUUGCUACUGAUCUUAGCGGCGGACGGGUGAGUAAUGCUUAGGAAUCUGCCUAUUAGUGGGGGACAACAUUUCGAAGGGAAUGCUAAUACCGCAUACGUCCUACGGGAGAAAGCAGGGGAUCUUCGGACCUUGCGCUAAUAGAUGAGCCUAAGUCGGAUUAGCUAGUUGGUGGGGUAAAGGCCUACCAAGGCGACGAUCUGUAGCGGGUCUGAGAGGACGACCAGCCGCACUGGGACUGAGACACUGCCCAGACUCCUACGGGAGGCUGCAGUCGAGGAUCAUUCGCAAUGGGCGAAAGCCUGACGAUGCGACGCUGCGUGGAGGAUGAAGGCCCUCGGGUCGUAAACUCCUGUCAUGGGGGGCGAGGCGGAGGCGGUCAACAGCCGCCCGAGUUGACGGUACCCCAAGAGGAAGCCACGGCUAACUCUGUGCCAGCAGCCGCGGUAAUAC